rnacentral:rRNA from 1 species
UAUUGCGCAAUGGGGGAAACUCUGACGCAGUGACGCCGCGUAUAGGAAGAAGGUUUUCGGAUUGUAAACUAUUGUCGUUAGGGAAGAUACAAGACAGUACCUAAGGAGGAAGCCCCGGCUAACUAUGUGCCAGCAGCCGCGGUAAUACAUAGGGGGCAAGCGUUAUCCGGAUUUAUUGGGUGUAAAGGGUGCGUAGACGGAGAAACAAGUUGGUUGUGAGAUCCCUCGGCUCAACUGAGGAACUGCAACCAAAACUAUUUCCCUUGAGUGUCGGAGAGGAAAGUGGAAUUCCUAGUGUAGCGGUGAAAUGCGUAGAUAUUAGGAGGAACACCAGUGGCGAAGGCGACUUUCUGGACGAUAACUGACGUUGAGGCACGAAAGUGUGGGGAGCAAACAGG